rnacentral:lncRNA from 1 species
GAUUAGUUUCCUUCAGCCUAAUUUGCAGCCAUCUUAGCCAAGCCUUCAUAUUUCUUCCCUUUUCAACCCGGUCCCUCAUUUUCCACCUGGAGAAGUCUCUUCUCAAUCGCCUAGGCAACGGAGACAAGAGCUAGGACGCUGUCGCACGGGCCUAGCUUCUGUCAGAGAAGUGGAAGAGCUUUCUUGUAUGCCUUAUUCCCCCUGGUACAUAGUUGUAUAUUCUUCGUUGUGGGUCCUUUUGUUGUGUCAUGUGGGACGCCGCCUCAGCGUGGUUCGACGAGCAGUGCCAUGUCCGUGCCCAGGAUUCGAACCAACGAAACACUGGGCCGCCUGCAGUGGAGCGCGCAAACUCAACCAUUUGGCCAUGGGGCCAACCCCGGUGCCAGUGUACCAGAAGCACAAGAAAGAUGAUCAGAGAAUUAAGAAAAAGAAGAAAAUACCGAAUGAGAUUAAGAAGGAAAAUUUGGGACAAAAACCUGGAGGUGUCCUUCACACCAACACCCCCCUCAUCCAAUGUAUCACAAUGGACUAUAUAUCUAUUUAACCCCAAAAGGUGUCUUGAACUGAUCGAUUUUCGCCCACGCCUUCACCGCCUUCUUGCUUUAGUCUAAUCCGUCAUCAUCUCUCCAUGUAUAUCUGGAAGAACUUCCUAAUUGUUCUCCCUCCUUUUACUUUUAUCCCCCUGCAAUCCAUUCCGCACACCAGUAAUUGCAGUGAUUUAUUUAAAAUGCUAAUAGGAUCAUGUAGUUUCCUUACUUAUCAUCUUUCAAGGGCUCCUUACUGCACUUAGGAUAAAAUAUAGACCCAUAACCUUGCCUUUGGGGCUCUGCAGAUUGCUGCCCCUGCCUCUACCGCCAGCCUCAUCUUGCACCAUCUCUUGUUCCUCACAGCCAGCAGGCACUACUGCCCUCCUUUCAACUGCAAGCACAGUAGCACUGAGCUCUUCACUGAAUCAGGACUGCUACUCACGCUGUUAUUCUGCCUGGAGUGCUUUUUACUCAACUUGUCCUUCAGGUUUAUUAUGCUGAUGUACAUACCUUGGUGGCUGAAUGUCUGGUGGCCAGAUAAUUGAAAGAGCACACUAUGAGAACUAAGAUUCUAGAGGCUGGAAUAUGCAUGUCAUUUUGAUUGUAUGUGAUGUAUACCUGUACAUAUGGCAUGGCAUCCCCUUGAGUUUUAGAACAGUACUGAUUUCAUGUCACUUCAUUUUUUUAAAGAAAGUUAGUUCUCUAAAUGCAAAAUCACCUGUGAUUUAAAUUUCCUGCUUUCUGAACUCAUUCAGCAUAUAACAAUUCACAUAUCAGUUUUUUAAAAAGGUAAAAAGCUCUUAUCCUACCCUGGGCUUUCAUUUUUGUUUCAGAAUGUGGACAUGUUGUUUGUGCCAACAAAAGGGAAUUCAAGGAGCCAGAUGAGAAAGGUCAUUAAGAACAGACUAGAGCAAGAAGCUGUUUCCAACCCUCCACUGGAGUGAGGUCUAGUCUCCAGACAGAGAGAGAGAGAAGAAAGAAGGAGGAGGACGAGGGAGAAGGAGUGGGCAUAACAGUUAACAUCUGCUAAAGAGUGGAGAUUCCAGAGAAAAAGUAAGAGAGGUUGAGUCUGCGCCAGGGACAUGAAGGAAAUAAGCUGCCUGGGAACCAAGAACAGAGGAUGGAAGGGUGGCUGCAACAUGCAGAGCUACUCUUGUUGAAGACUAUACCCAAACUCUUCACAGAACCUCAGGACUUAGAGGAACACAACACAAAAAAAUCACCAGCACAAGAUACAUCAGAAAGGAUUUCGCAAGGCAAAACACAACUGACUACAAUAACUAGAACAGAUGAAGUGCUCUGAGAUUAGAGAAAUGAAAGCCCACAGGAUGCUGGAGUCCUCUGCGAAGUCUACAGUGGACACACGGGAGUCCUACCAGUCCAGAACCACUUUAAAUGAAGUUCAAGAGUUGAGUUUUCUUGGACCAACAGGUGAUGGAAUGUUGGGCUGCAUUUUCAAGAGAGGACUUCUUUACUUCCAGCAUACUUUAUGGGUAUAAUCCUUUGUAGUGGGUAAAUUAUCAAUGUUCCCCCUCCUAGCAAGUUCCUAAUUUGACUUCUAUUUGCCUAGUCCCACAAGGCCACCAAAAUCACUGCUCAGCCUUUCAACUACUCCUGCAGGAAUGGCCAAUUCUCUUAGGAUAAGUAUGCCUUGAAUGCCUUAGCUUAUAUUUCUGAUGUCUUGUCUUCUUCCAGAUCUUGGUCCAGCAAGUUCCGGGGUAUCUUGUACGCUCUUUGAUAUCUAUAGUCCUGUGUUCGUUCUUGAUCCUCAGGUUUACAUGUGGAAUCAUUUUGCUACACUUUUUCCUCUUCUUCAAGUUAAGACUUACAUUUACAACUCCAACACAUAUGAUAAAAUUCAGAGUGUUAGGAAAAUAUGGCCAUAGUGACAUCAGUAUCCAAGUUCACAAGACUAUGUUAAUUAGAGAGCCUUCACAAACAUCUUAAUUAUGCACAUCUGCUUUCCAUAUGAAUUAAGAUUUCCUCCUAGGAAUUGUUUACAAUGUUAAACAUAAUCUAUGCAAAAAACCUGAGAUACUGAGAUGUUCAGUUUCUUUAGGAAAGCGA